rnacentral:lncRNA from 10 species
GGGGAUCAAAGAUAUCAUCAUCAUCCUCUUCUUGGUUCUCAGUUAGGUUUCUGUCUUUAACAACAGACAGGGAUGUCGGACACCGAAACUUCUCCUGAAGGAGAGAAAAAACAAAGCAUAUUAGUGCUUCCUUUGCACUAUAGAGCAGCUCUUUUACCUUCUGGCCAUGCCUUGUAAAUCUCCAUGGGCUGUUUAUCCUCUGCCUGCUCCUUAAAUGUUACCAUUUCUUAGGGUUUCUCUUACCUUGGCCCUUUCCUCUUCUUCAUCUCCCAGGCUUACCCUGGGCAACCUUAACCACUCCAUUUUUCAGAUCCAAUUGUAAGUAAACUCACAUGUAUUUUAUCUUCACUUUCCUUCUCUCCUAAGAUGAAGACACAUGUGUGAAUGAUGGGCAGACUGCUCCACAGUUUGAGGUUACACAGUCAUCUUGAACUUAGCAAGUCUAAAAAUCAAGGCCCAUCCACCAUCCUCUCCAUUUCUACUUCUUUCCCUGUACCUCUCAGCACUAACACCUAUCCAGGUGCCACAUAAGAUAGAAACACCUGAAUCAUAAUCCCAAAUAUUUCCUCUCCUUCUCAUUCCAUAUCCAACCAGCCACCAAGCUUUGUUGAUAAUACUGCCUAACAACUUAUCUGUUCCCUCCUCCUUCUUCAUUCCCUCUACCAAUGUCUUGAUUCCGGCCCUUGUCGUCUCAGUCCUGAACUUGCGCAAUGCCUCCUCACUGAUCCUUCUACCUCCAGAACAUCAACUAAGUAUUUUCUGAGAAUAUUACUAAAGCAUAGCUUUGAUCACAUCUUUUCUCUGCUUUAAACUUUGGAGAGCUCACCAAUACUCAACGAAGAGCUCAAAUUCUUCAGUAUGAUUAGAAGGCUCCUCAGCUUUAGCUAAACCUACUUUCCCACUCUUCCAGCCCAGAAACAUACAAUCACUCUCAAUUCCUCAAGCACAAGAUGUUUUCAUCCCUCUACGCCUAUGUAUAUGUGAUUUCUGGUAUCUUCUUCUUUUCAUAAAGACGGGGUCUCACUAUAUUACUCAGGCUGGACUCGAACUGCGAGACUCAAGGAAUCCCCCUGCUUCAGUCUCCCAAGUAGCUGGGACUACAGGCACAUGCUACCAUACCCAGAAGUUUCUGACAUCUUAGGUUCCCUUUCACCUCUUUUUGGCUUUGUAAAUGAAAUCUUUCUUCAAUAAUCAAUUCAAGUGUCCCCAACUUCCUCAAGUGGCUAACUCUAUCUCAAAUUUACACAUACAUACCUCUGUUUAUAACAUUUAGCACAGUUUGAAUUGAAGCUUUACUCAAAAAUAUGUAUCUCCCAGAGGUCUUCUCCAGAUUCCUUGAAAGCAGAGAUCAUGUGUCUUAUUUAUGUUUUAUGCCCAGCAUCUAUCAGAGUGUCUUGCACAUAGUAGGCAUACUCAAUAAAUGAUUAUUGGAUCAAACAGGUGAGAACUAAAGCAGGGAAGGGGAAUAUGCAGCGACAAGGAAGGUGCUGUUUGAACUACAGUGGUCAGAAAGGCCUCAUUCAUACGGUGACAUCUAAGCCUAGACCUGAAGGCUGUGUAUAGAUCUGGGAAGAACAGAGAAACAGUGGGGAGGGCCGUGUGGUGACAGCAGAGUGAUGAAAGGGCAAGAAGGGGAGGCAAGAGGGUAAGAGAGAUAGCAGGUGGUCCAGGUCAUGCAAUGCUCUGUAUCCAAUGGUGAGGUCUGAGCAUAAGAGGAAGUCUUCUAAAAGCCUUGCAGGAAGCCGGGUGCAGUGGCUCACACCUGUAAUCCCAACACUCUGGAAGGCCGAGGCAGGGGGAUCACCUGAGGUCAGGAGUUCGAGACCAGCCUGGCCAACAUGGCAAAAUAGUCUCUACUAAAAAUACAAAAAUUAGCCAGGUGUGGUGGGACAUGCCUGUAAUCCCAUCUACUCGGGAGGCUGAGGCAAGAGAAUCACUUGAACCCGGGAGGCGGAGGUUGCAGUGAGCUGAGAUUGUGCCACUGCCCUCCAGCCUGGGUGACACAGCAAGACUCUGUCUAAAAAAAAUGAAUGAAUGAAUGAAUGAAUGAAUGAAUGAAUGAAUGAAUAAAUGGCUUGCAGGAGAGUAGUGCCAGGAUUUGACCCACAUUAUAAAAGCAUCACUCUGUUGAAAACAGGGUGUAGGGGCAAGAAAAGAAGCAGGGAGAACAGGUGGAGAACACUGAGGCAAGGGAGCACUGGGUAAGGGUGCUGACAGGUUGGGGGUGAGAAGCAGUCUGAUUCGGAGCUGCUUUGAAGGUAGGAGCCAACAAGAUUUGCCACUAGAUUUGGAUGUGGAGUGCCAGAGUGUCAAGAACAAUCCUCAAGUACAUGGCCUGAGCAGAUGAAAGAUAGAUCUGCCAUUAAUUGAGAUGGGGGAGACAGCAGGAGGAAGAGACUGGAGGGGAAGGAUGGGAUCUGAACACGCUGUCUUGGAGACACCCACUAGCCAUGCAGGCAGAGGCACUGAGCAGGCAGCUGAGUAGAUGAGUCUGGAAUUCAGAAGAGAGGGCUGGGCUAGACACCCAAAUUUAGGAGUCAUUGAUGUAAAGAUGGAAUUAAAGUCAUGAGACCAGAUGAAAGAGAUCACCAAGAAACUGAGUGAAUGGGUCUAUGCUCUGUUUUACUCAGAAUUCCUUGGCACCAAGGUGUGUUUCAGAAUUCAGAAUAUUUCAGACUUUGGAAAUAAUAUGAUUUAUUACAUAACAUUCCCAGCAAGAUCUUGGAAGAAACAUUUCUGUGGCAAAAAAAAAUAUGAAUAUUCACACUAAGUUGGGAUAAAAGCUAGAAAUAGCCUCCUGCUACUUUAGGUCAGGUUUUUCCACUGAAUAAUUUCAGGUCAAGUUAGGUCUUGCUGUCAAAUAUGUUAUUAAAAAAUAUUUUAAAGAAUUUUUGAAUAUGGGUGUUACAGAGCAUGGAUUUUGGACUGGUAGAAGGAAGAAAUGAGAAAAGAAAAAAAAGGACAGAUAUCAGCCAGUGAGGCAGGGGGAACUCCCAAAGAGAGGAGUAACCCCAGAAGUCAAGAGGAAAGAAGUUUCAAGGAGAAAGGGAGGGGCUGGGUGCAGUGGCUCAUGCCUAUAAUCCCAACAUUUUGGGAGGCUGAGGUGGGAGGAUCACUUGAGGCCAAGACCAGCCCAGGCAACAAAGUGAGACCUCCACGAAAAUUUUAAAGUGUAGCCAGGCAAGGUGAUGCGCACCUGUAGUCCCUACUACUUGGAAGGCUGAAGAAGGAAGAUGGCUUGCCCCCAGCAGUUGGAGGCUGCAGUGAGCUAUGAUUGCACCGUAGAACUCUAGCCUGGGCAACAGACCAAGACCCUGUCUCUUUAAAAGAGAGAGAGAGAGAGAGAGAAAGAGGUCCAAUCGUGUCAAAUGUGUCAAAAGAAUAAGGAUGAGAAUUGGAUUUGGGACAUGACACACACUGGAAACCUUGAGAGCCAGCCCAACCACAGCAGCUAGAGGAACCCAACUGAAUAGGGAGCAUUUCUCAAACUAAACAGACAAAAGUUGAAAAAUCAUGAGAUUUUUAACUGAACCACGAGUUAAAAUUUCUAAAAGAAACUGUGCCCCCACGUGAGAUCCAGAUUAAAUCUAUUCAAUCAAAAAAUAUAUAAAUAUAUACAAAACACAUUUAUGCAUAUUCCAAAACCUAUCAGCCUGAUAGUCAAGAAGAUAUCCCUGGAACCUUAUUUCUUUGGAUACUUAUUUAAAAUUAAAUUCUUUGGCUAUAGGAUUAGAGAGUCUAGGAGCUAAAAAAGGCAGGGGUGGGCGUCUCAUAGCUCUCUGAUGAAUCAGUUUGAAGCAGCGAAAUUAUUCCUCUCCUUUCCUGACACCUGCUGCAGGGAGUAGCUUCAGCAACACAAUGUGGGUUGGCACGGCCUGAGAGGGUAUAAUUAGAAAACGAAAGAGCCAAAAGUUAAUUACUGUUAGAUAGGGGAAAAAACACAAUCUUGCUGUGAAGAAAUCAGAUAUAGCUUAGCCCAGGAAUCACAUACCCUCCUUUAAGUACACAACAAAUAAUAUAAAAUCAGGCUUUAAAGUAAAACAAAACAGGAGUAGAGUCAGAAAAAAGUACUUGUUACGCAGAUCUAUUAGUUGCAACUCCAAUGAGACAGCGACAUCAUGAGCUAAUGGUGAAUAGACUGUUAUAAUAACUGAAGAUUGUAGAUGUUGAAUUAUAGUUGACUUCCAAAUAUAAUUGUAUCUUUUAAUAUAAAACUCCAGGUAAAAAGACCAUUUUUGUAACAGAAUGAAUACUGUGCUUCAGAGUACUGUGGGCUGGAUUGAACAUCAAACUAAUAUAGCUAUGGGAUGUGAGGGCGAUUGGCUGCAACAUCUGUUAACCCACUGAUUGCCAGGGUUGAUUCAGCUGAUCUGGCUGGGCUAAGUGGGUGUCCCCUUCCUCCCUCACCGCUCCAUGUGUGUCCCUCUCGAAGCCGCACGCUUGGUCGAAGAGGAUGACCAUCCACGAUAGAGGAGGACCAGUCUUUGGUCAAGGGUAUACAAGCAGCUGCACUCCCCUGCUAGAACUUCCAAACAAGCUCUCAAACUAAUAUAGCUAGGGAAAUUCUGAAUAUACAAAAGUCUGAGGCUUAUUAGUGAAGAUAUAGUAUGUUCGAAAAGAAAUAAUAAAUGUAUAAGAAAUAGCAGGUAAUUUUUACUAUGGCUGAAUUGCUUGGUUUCAAGUUAAUUUUAGCAGAAGGAGCAAUCUCAAUAUAACCAUUUAUAUACCUUAACUAUGAUGAUUAAUUAUAACUAAUUUUAACUGCUAAGAAUAACCAUGUGACCAUGUAUACAGCUUUCUAACAUCUAAUGAAUCUUUGAAUCAGAGUUCUAUGUCCAUUAUUCUUUUCUCUACGAGCUGUUCCAUUAUAAAUGAUAGCAAUUACUUUUUGACGAACUGCUGCUACUCUGAACAACUUAAUUAUGCAGAAUCUUCAUGGCAUUAUUUCUUACAAGAGAAGAGAUGUGCCCUAAACUAGCACCCUUCAGUUGCUUUAAAUAACUACAAGGGAUCAAAGAAAGGAACAAUUAGCAGUAAGUUACAGGGACUAAACAGGUGAAUACAGAAACAUCUUAAAGUUUAAAGAAGAGUUAUGUCAAUCAACAGAGUCAAUGGAAACUUUUCAGAAACUUCUUUGCUCUUGCUUUUGUAAAUCUUAAUUGGCACUUAGUCCACUGCUUUGCACAAAAGUUCUCAGCAGUCGUGAAUGCCAAAUAUGUUUCCUGGCCAUGCGCCCAUGCCAGUGGAGGGUAAGAUAUACCCACAAUUCUGAACAUCUUCAGAAGGCAAAUCAAAGAAUGGAUACUACAUUUCCCACUACAUAUACUAACACUGGAACUGGCCUCUGAAAAUCAGGUGACUGAUUUUUUUUCAAUUUUUCAAUUUUUUUUCUUAAGACAGGGUCUCACUAUCACCCACGCUGGAGUGCAGUGGCACAAUCAUGGCUCACUGUAGCCUCAACCUCCCCACAGGUGACCCUCCCACCUCAGCCUCCUAAGUAGCAGGGAACACAGGCACGCGACGACACACCUGGUUAACUUUUCUAUUUUUGUAGAGACAGGGUUUUGCCACAUUGCCCAGGCUUUUUUUUUUUUUCCCAAAUUUUUAAGCCUAUAGAAGGACUUCCAGGGACAUGAAAGGAAAGGGAAAUGAUAAAGAACUUCAAAUAGCAUAGUCUGCCCUAUCUACCUUUGAAAUAAGCAACUCUUCACUCUCCUAUUACUUUUCCUAAAUAACCUACAGGCUCUUAAAAACAGACCUAAAAUACCACUCCACCAUCCCAGUGUAACCUUAUCAGUCAACAGAGGGCUAUGGAGAAUUGCCUAAUGUGUAAAGAAUGCCACGGGGAGUUAUGGGCCACAUCCCUCGUGUUUUACAAAUUAUCCUCUACAUAAUCCAACUGUGUUCCUAUUUCAUUUAGUUUAUAUUCUUCUAGUUUUUUUCCUAUGUACAUAAGUACUCAUUUUUAAAAUACAGGUGUCAUUUUUAAAAAUAACACUUUAUAUGCAUCAGUGAACAUUCCUACACACAUUCCUGAUUUUAUGCAUAGAACAAAUUCUUUGACAUAAAUUUUGGGGCCAAAAAGUUUGUGAAUUUUUAAAUUUCUUAAUACAUACUACCAAAUCUGCCUUUCAAAAAUGUUUUAUCAAUUAAUAUUUCUACCAACAGAAUAUGAAAGUGUUUUUUCCCAAUCCUUAAAUUAACCUCUGGGUAUAGGUUUUAAUAACUGCCAACAUUUAAAUAGGUGAAAUUAGAAUUUUAUUCUUAUUUGUGUUUUGUAAACUGCCUGAUAAUGACAGUUUCCCACUUUUCUACUGUGAAGGAAUGUUCAAUUUUUUUCCUUUUAACUGUAAGAGUUUUGAAAAUAUACCAUAGAUAUUAUGCAUUUGCCAUAAAUAUGUUCCUAUUUCCAAAAAUAUGAGUGCCAAGCGCAGAAUAAUAUGGGAACUUAGCUCAAUACACAAUGCCACACACAAAAUAUUAUAUUAAAUCACUUAAGUAAAAAGACUUUGUAAUCAAACAUAGGAAACUACUUAUGUGACUCAUAUAUUUGUAUUACUAUAAUAAUAAGAAAAAUAAUUGCCUCAUUGUUCAUUGGAAAAUCGCUAUCAUUGUGAUCUAUAUGUAAAAAUUCCAAUACACAAAUCACAUUCUGAAAAGUUUAUAUCUACUGUUUAGGCCUUUCCAGGCUCUCCAUAUAAGCAGAAAAAACCACUGCUACUGGUUGUCAGUUUCUUCUUUUAGAGAACAAAGAAGUGUUUUAAACUAGAGGCUUCUGAGUCUUCUUCUAGUUCUAACAUUUUCAAAGUCUAUGAGAGGGCUUCAUGCUAAUAAGGCUAAUAUGCUGAAAGGGCCUUACCAAUAUUAAGUUUCAAAGGCAAGAAAUAGCCUAAGCUAUGAGCCACAGUUCAUAUUACAUGAAAUGGUUGAGAAGCUCAAAAUACCGAAAUGACAGAUAGUACUUUGGUUAACAGAGAAAUGGUUUUAUCCUGAGAUUGCUGCUAAUACAGAACUCCAUUGUAUUAAUAUAUACAAUAGUUAAGAUGUGACACUGGAAACCUCUGAUAUGACUUUUGGCAAUUAAAAGAUGCAAGAGAUUAGAACAAGCAAGCUGAACACAAGUGCAAGCUUACCUGGAAUAUUACCACGCGGAAUUUGUUUUUCUUCAUUAUUUCCUCUUGCUUGACUUCAACUUUUUUAACAUGAAUUUGUUGCUUCUCC